GAGUAAAGAAGUAUAAUACUUUUAAUUUCGACUUAAAAUUAGGGAAAACCCCCAUACUCU
rnacentral:tRNA from 1 species